AUCCAGUUGACGAGUCCCAAAUGGGACGAAACGCGCGUCAAACUGGAU
rfam:Schistosoma mansoni strain Puerto Rico chromosome 3, complete genome